CACGAGGCAAACUGUACCCCACAAGUUAUAGAACAUGGUGUUUAGGACACGAUUCUUUCAGCCAGACGUCUAUCUGCAUCGCUUUAUUAAAGCUAAAGGCUGGAUUCCACACACGUUAGCAAAGGCGCAAAGAGUUGCAUUUUUAAAGUGUUUAUUCGGCCAUUUACCUUAUACUUCAUCCCUUAAUUAUACCUGGUCUCUUCCGCUAUCUGCUAAUCAAUGCGGCGAUGUAAAUGACAUUCUCAUGUGAUACCCACUUCAACUAUAAAUGUCUUUAGUCCUGUCACAAGCGGCGAAUUGUCUGGCGCUCGCAACUGCAACCUAUCGAGUCUCCAGUAGCGAAUCUCGGUACACCAGGAGUCCAGGUGAAACGUGAACAAGUACUUCGAGUAGCCCCUGCUUGCGCUUUCCUUUUGAAUUUAUGUCCGGAGAACAGAUCAACCCAUUUAAUGAACACAUGACACUGAAUAGAACUGAGCUUUCUAAUCCUUCACUGACCUCCGGAGGACCGUCGUGGCACAAAUCAGGAAAACCCUCUAAGACUACUUGUAAUCAAACUUUGAAAGGAGACAUUCCAAGAAUAUUUCAUAUCAUUAGCUUUCAAAAGGUGUGGCAUUUGAGCUCAACAAUGCUGUGAAGAUCUUAAAUGAGUUUGGAGUAGUGAUUCCUUUAAACAACAUGGAGGAUGGUAACAGGUGGGGGAGUUGUGCCAUUUGAAGAUAACUGUGCCAAACUGCUUUAUUAACUGUGCCUUGGUACUUUGUGUAACAAUGCUAGUAUGUAGUAUCAAUAUUCUGAUAGAUGUCAGGUAAUUUUCAAUAUCCUAAGCCUACGAGUUACUCUCACUUUUUCGAUCUUGGUGUAUGGAACGGAGAAGAAUCGUUAAGGCAAUUCCUGAGGCAUGUAGUCAAAGUGUUUCUUCUUUCUAUUAGGUGCAAUAACCUCAUCAUUUUGCUAUAUGAAGGAUUCUAGUAUGGUGACAGCUUCCAAAAUUUAAAAGUUUUUAAAAAAAGUAAACUUGGUUCUUGAUGGGUGCUAAUUUGUUAAGCUAUAUUUAAAAUAUAAUCCAUGAAUAAUUCAUUGCUAGCAGUUUCCACCUCUGUAACUCAAAAUGUGCUAUAACUGUGUCAAUUUUGGUUUAGCAAGUAAUCUUUUGUCACUUUGUCUUCCAUCAUUUUAAUAGCUUUUAUAUUAAGUUAUUUUGCAUACUAAAAGAUGUUCUCUAAAAUAACAGUUUUAGAUUGCUAUAUUUCAUUAGUUGUAUUAAAUAGAUUAUAGAAUAAGAAACCUGAAAUGUAUACUAAAGAUUUGUAUGUAGUCUUGAAUGUAAAUAAUGUUACAAUGCAUUUAGUUUAAAAACAUGCUGAUUAUUUUCAGGGUCAUUUCCAUAACACUGCAAAAGCCAACUUCAUAAGGACUUUUACACCUUUUUUAGGCUGAAAUCUAACCUUGUUUAUGAACUGAAUGGAUUGUAGUGUGACUGAGAUUAACAAGGUCCUUGUUCUAUACUGGAUUGUAUGACAUAUAAUAUCCACCACCAGUGAUAUGCUCCUGACCUCUCUGUUAGGCAGAACAGAACCACACUAAUGGAGAAUAUAUUUUGGAGUAAAUAAAGAACUGUUUAUUGUAAGAGAGAAAAAUGGACAGCAGCAAGCUAACUGAACAGAUGAAAUAAAAGAGUGUUAUAUUCUC